rnacentral:tRNA from 1 species
GUGGCCUAGUGGUCAUGGCAUCUGCCCGGUAAGCGGAAGGUCGUGGGUUCGAUCCCUUGAAACU